rnacentral:rRNA from 1 species
UACGAAGGGUGCAAACGUUGCUCGGAAUUAUUGGGCGUAAAGCGCACGUAGGCGGCUUAGCAAGUCGGAAGUGAAAUCCCUCGGCUCAACCAAGGAAGUGCUUUCGAAACUGCUGAGCUUGAGUACUAAAGAGGAUCGCUGAAUUCCCGGUGUAGAGGUGAAAUUCGUAGAUAUCGGGAGGAACACCAGUGGCGAAGGCGGAGACCUGGGCCGAUACUGACGCUGAGGUGCGAAAGCGUGGGGAGCAAACAGGG